UGUGGCUGCUUGGAGAAGUAGCAGAGAAACAUUUGUCUGUUUUUUGAGGGUGGCCAGGGUUGGUUUUGGAGCUUUGAUUUUAGCAAUGGCAGAAACAAUCUGGAAACCUUUGUGGAUUUUGUUACUGGUGCUGAAUUAUGCUGUGCACUGUGAUGCAGGAAGUGUUUACAGACAUGGUUGCACAAACGAUGGUGCUCAGGAUGGGACCACUGAAAUGACUCCUGCUCAGGCAAGCUCUGAUUCUGGAUUUGGGCCUAGUCAAGAACCUUAUUUUCAG